ACUUGACACAGUGAAAUUGAGCCGUCGGUGCUGCAGGAGGAGUUGGUGGUACCUGAAAUGACAGCAGAGAAAGAAUGAAGGAGGAUCUGGAAGACCAUGUAGCUUUCUCUCAUUGCUUCACUUGUGUGCCUCCGUUCAAGUGAGAGCCUGCAGGAGAUAGAGAUAUGUUUCUCUGUUUGCUGUACAGCUUUCAAUGAAGAAGGGCAAUUUCCAACUACUCGUUGUCCACAGGCACACAGUCUGCGCCCACUGUCAGCUGAGUGCUCUGAGUACAGUCAGUUCUUUGCCAUAUCUGCAAAGUCACCGGUUUUUAUCCUUAAGUGACAAAGACUGUUCAGUUUCUGCAUGUUACAGCUAUGUGAGCUCAUCCACAUCCUGCACACACUCCACUUGAACAUCAAGGGGAGCAGGGGGUAGUCUUGCAGAUGGAGUAAUGCAGGAAUUCCCACAGCAUCUUGAGGUGUAUCCAGUUCAUCAUCUGAAACCUCUGCAACCAAACUGGAAGGGACCAGUCCUCUUGUGCCAUUUGUCAGCUCUCCCUACAACCAGGGAGAGAAACCAGCCAGCACAGGGCACAGCCAGAGCCAGACCAGGGGAGAAACACUCCUGCAGGCUCCUACCACACAGGACCCCGUUCAUCACCCCCAGGUGGCUUUGUUGCAUAAGGGCAAAGCUCACAACUCUCUGGGAACUGCAAGUGGUGGGAGCUGAGCAGCAUCACAGAGGUCUGCAAGUACCUUCUCUGCACGGCGCUGGAACAACUCUCCAUACCCCAUUUUCAGAGAGCCAUCUCUGGCUUCUUUUACACGUGCACUGUGCCCACACGCUCAGGUUUGGCUGCUGACCAGUGUGCAAGGGCAGGCAGCAAGAGCCUGCAGGUACACAGUGACUCAGGUGAGUGAAGCUGGAUGAGCGCAGCACAGAAAUUACCUGGCAUGCCAGUUGUUGGCCCUGCCUGCGUUCUACUGUCUGAGACUGGCAGUGUGGGACACUGUGGGACUAGCUGCCUUCCUGCAGUGCAUCCUGCUCAGUUUCCUGGUCAGUUCCUUUAGAAAGAAAGCAGGACAGCAGGAACGCAUGUGAUGUGCUCUCAUCGGGAACUGAGCUACUCCAAUCCUGAGCUCAGGCAAAGUCUGCUGCUCCCAGCCCCCACAUCCACUGUCACCCCCUCUGUUGCCCAAGAACAUUUGGGACCUCCCAAGAACUGGAGGAUGCUGACCCUCUGAUGCCUCCUCAGCUCCUCUGCAAGGCCCUCACACCUUGUGUAGUGAGCAUCACCAACCAUCACAGCCAGCUAUCUGCAGGCUGAAAUUCAAGCUCCAGCACAAGUACCUUCAGAAUCAGCAUCUCCAGCCCAUGGCUUUCGCUGUCUGGCACAUCUCCAAGGCAGUUUCUCCCUCUGGGGAAGUCAGCAGUGCCCCCAAAGACUUUUCUGUCUCAGUAAGUCUCUGCCCACUGCCUCUUCUGGAGGAAAGCCCCGAGGAAAAGCUUUGCCACAGAGCCCCAUAAGACCCCUCUGCUGCUCUUCAUGGCCGAGCAGCUGGGAGCAAUUGCUCCACAUGCCGUGACUCAGGCUCACCCUCCUUUGUGCUCCAAUCCUGCCAGAGCUGAUGUGGGGGAGGAGGGGCUCCCACCUUCGGCCUCGGUAUGUUCUUUUUUGUACGGCCUGUCUAAGUGUGACCGCCAUCAUCUCUUGUCUUUGAGGGAGCGGAUGAGGACGAAGGUGAAACUCUCCUGGGGUUGUUUGUUUACGAUGUGGACGGAGAGAUCGCCCACACCUUCCACGUGCAUGUAUGGCCAGUGCGUGAGGCAGGCUGCUGGGAGGGAAACCGUCCUCCUGCGGGUGUGGAGGGACGACUGCUGGCGGGAGGGAGGAGUGCAGCUGCCUUCCUCCAUCAGCAGCGCCGUUCUGGCGUCCCACGGCAGCCCAGGGAGCGGAGCAGAGCAAGUCAGGGUUCUGCCGCUGGCAAAGGGAGCCGUGCGGAUGUGCCGCGGCGCUUUCCGCUUUGUAUCAGCAGGAGGAGCCCCGCAAAGCCUUCGGCCGUCUCAGAUUGGAUGCGCGGAGCAACUGAGGAAACGCAGAACGCACCUGCGUGUGCCGAGUAGAAAUUCACGGCAAUUCGUAAAAGACAGCAGAGAUUUUUAGUAGCAAUAAUGAGAAUAAAAGGUCGGUUACUUUC